rnacentral:rRNA from 1 species
AGUGAACGCUGGCGGCAGGCCUAAUACAUGCAAGUCGAACGGCAGCACAGCAGAGCUUGCUCUGUGGGUGGCGAGUGGGCGGACGGGUGAGGAAUACGUGGGAAUCUGCCCAGUCGUGGGGGAUAACGUAGGGAAACUUACGCUAAUACCGCAUGCGCCCUUCGGGGAAAGCCGGGGACCUUCGGGCCUGGCGCGAUUGGAUGAGCCCACGUCGGAUUAGCUAGUUGGCGGGGUAAAGGCCCACCAAGGCGACGAUCCGUAGCUGGUCUGAGAGGAUGAUCAGCCACACUGGAACUGAGACACGGUCCAGACUCCUACGGGAGGCAGCAGUAGGGAAUAUUGGACAAUGGGCGCAAGCCUGAUCCAGCCAUGCCGCGUGAGUGAAGAAGGCCCUCGGGUGUAAAGCUCUUUGUCCGGAAAGAAAAGCGCCGGGUUAAUACCCUGGUGUCCUGACGGUACCGGAAGAAUAAGCACCGGCUAACUCGUGCCAGCAGCCGCGGUAAU